CCCAUAACACCCAUUUAUUUUUUUCAUAUAAGACUUAAUAGCUCAUGAAAGGUCAUUUACCAAAAUUUUAGAAGAUUUUUAAUUUUAUUUCUUUUAAUUUGAGACCCAAUAAUACCAAUGCAAAUAUAAGGUAAAAGUCCGAGUCAGCCUUUUCCCGCCAUAUUUUAAAUCUCAAUUAUCUCGAAAAGGAGGUCCAUGACCUAUCAAUAUUUUUAGCUUAUUUUUAUCCUUAAUUGAUGCUCUACCAGCUUAUAGUUUAAAUUUUAACUUCUUAAUUUAUUAAUUUUCAACUAACCUCACCUAAGAACAUCCUUAAG
rnacentral:lncRNA from 1 species